rnacentral:rRNA from 1 species
GAGUUUGAUCCUGGCUCAGAACGAACGCUGGCGGCAGGCCUAACACAUGCAAGUCGAGCGAGACCUUCGGGUCUAGCGGCGGACGGGUGAGUAACGCGUGGGAAUGUGCCCUUCUCUACGGAAUAGCCUCGGGAAACUGGGAGUAAUACCGUAUACGCCCUUUGGGGGAAAGAUUUAUCGGAGAAGGAUCAGCCCGCGUUGGAUUAGGUAGUUGGUGGGGUAAUGGCCUACCAAGCCGACGAUCCAUAGCUGGUUUGAGAGGAUGAUCAGCCACACUGGGACUGAGACACGGCCCAGACUCCUACGGGAGGCAGCAGUGGGGAAUCUUAGACAAUGGGGGCAACCCUGAUCUAGCCAUGCCGCGUGAGUGAUGAAGGCCUUAGGGUUGUAAAGCU